rnacentral:rRNA from 1 species
ACACUCCUGCGGGAGGCAGCAGUGGGGAAUAUUGCACAAUGGGCGCAAGCCUGAUGCAGCCAUGCCGCGUGUGUGAAGAAGGCCUUCGGGUUGUAAAGCACUUUCAGCGGGGAGGAAGGCGAUACGGUUAAUAACCGUGUUGAUUGACGUUACCCGCAGAAGAAGCACCGGCUAACUCCGUGCCAGCAGCCGCGGUAAUACGGAGGGUGCAAGCGUUAAUCGGAAUUACUGGGCGUAAAGCGCACGCAGGCGGUCUGUCAAGUCGGAUGUGAAAUCCCCGGGCUCAACCUGGGAACUGCAGGCGAAACUGGCAGGCUUGAGUCGUGUAGAGGGGGGUAGAAUUCCAGGUGUAGCGGUGAAAUGCGUAGAGAUCUGGAGGAAUACCGGUGGCGAAGGCGGCCCCCUGGACAAAGACUGACGCUCAGGUGCGAAAGCGUGGGGAGCAAACAGGAUUAGAUACCCCGGUAGUCCCAUG